GCCGGGGUGGUGGAAUCGGUAUACACAAAUGACUCAAAAUCAUUCGCUCGAAAGGGCAUGCGGGUUCGACUCCCGUCCCCGGCACCA
rnacentral:tRNA from 1 species